UACAGAGGUCCCGAGCGUUGCUCGGAAUCACUGGGCGUAAAGGGUGCGUAGGCGGGUCUUUAAGUCAGGGGUGAAAUCCUGGAGCUCAACUCCAGAACUGCCUUUGAUACUGAGGAUCUUGAGUAUGGGAGAGGUGAGUGGAACUGCGAGUGUAGAGGUGAAAUUCGUAGAUAUUCGCAAGAACACCAGUGGCGAAGGCGGCUCACUGGCCCAUUACUGACGCUGAGGCACGAAAGCGUGGGGAGCAAACAGG
rnacentral:rRNA from 1 species